UACGGAGGGUGCAAGCGUUAUCCGGAUUCACUGGGUUUAAAGGGUGCGUAGGCGGGCAGAUAAGUCAGUGGCGAAAUACCUGAGCUUAACUUGGGAACUGCCAUUGAUACUAUUUGUCUUGAAUGUUGUGGAGGUUAGCGGAAUAUGUCAUGUAGCGGUGAAAUGCUUAGAGAUGACAUAGAACACCUAUUGCGAAGGCAGCUAACUACGCAAAUAUUGACGCUGAGGCACGAAAGCGUGGGGAUCAAACAGG
rnacentral:rRNA from 1 species